rnacentral:rRNA from 1 species
UAACUUAGUGGCGAACGGGUGAGUAACGCGUGAGUAACCUGCCCUGGAGUGGGGGACAACAGUUGGAAACGACUGCUAAUACCGCAUAAGCCCACGGCCCGGCAUCGGGCUGCGGGAAAAGGAUUUAUUCGCUUCAGGAUGGACUCGCGUCCAAUUAGCUAGUUGGUGAGGUAACGGCCCACCAAGGCGACGAUUGGUAGCCGGACUGAGAGGUUGAACGGCCACAUUGGGACUGAGACACGGCCCAGACUCCUACGGGAGGCAGCAGUAGGGGAUAUUGCACAAUGGGGGAAACCCUGAUGCAGCGACGCCGCGUGGAGGAAGAAGGUUUUCGGAUUGUAAACUCCUGUCGUUAGGAACGAUAAUGACGGUACCUAACAAGAAAGCACCGGCUAACUACGUGCCAGCAGCCGCGGUAAAACGUAGGGUGCAAGCGUUGUCCGGAAUUACUGGGUGUAAAGGGAGCGCAGGCGGACCGGCAAGUUGGAAGUGAAAACUAUGGGCUCAACCCAUAAAUUGCUUUCAAAACUGCUGGCCUUGAGUAGUGCAGAGGUAGGUGGAAUUCCCGGUGUAGCGGUGGAAUGCGUAGAUAUCGGGAGGAACACCAGUGGCGAAGGCGACCUACUGGGCACCAACUGACGCUGAGGCUCGAAAGCAUGGGUAGCAAACAGGAUUAGAUACCCUGGUAGUCCAUGCCGUAAACGAUGAUUACUAGGUGUUGGAGGAUUGACCCCUUUCAGUGCCGGCAGUUAACCCAAUUAAGUAAUCCCCGUGGGGAGUACGACCGCAAGGUUGAAACUCAAAGGAAUUGACGGGGGCCCGCACAAGCAGUGGAGUAUGUGGUUUUAAUUCGAAGCAACGCGAAGAACCUUACCAGGUCUUGACAUCCGAUGCAUAGUGCAGAGAUGCAUGAAGUCCUUCGGGACAUCGAGACAGGUGGUGCAUGGUUGUCGUCAGCUCGUGUCGUGAGAUGUUGGGUUAAGUCCCGCAACGAGCGCAACCCUUAUUGCCAGUUACUACGAAAGAGGACUCUGGCGAGACUGCCGUUGACAAAACGGAGGAAGGUGGGGAUGACGUCAAAUCAUCAUGCCCUUUAUGACCUGGGCUACACACGUACUACAAUGGCGUUUAACAAAGAGAAGCAAGACCGCGAGGUGGAGCAAAACUCAAAAACAACGUCUCAGUUCAGAUUGCAGGCUGCAACUCGCCUGCAUGAAGUCGGAAUUGCUAGUAAUCGCGGAUCAGCAUGCCGCGGUGAAUACGUUCCCGGGCCUUGCACUCAAAGCCCGUCA